CAUAUUCUCAUGAUGGCUGGAGGAGGUACUGUGUGCCUGCAUAUUCUCAUGAUGGCUAGAGGAGGUACUGUGUGCCUGCAUAUUCUCAUGAUGGCUAGAGGAGGUACUGUGUGCCUGCAUAUUCUCAUGAUGGCUAGAGGAGGUACUGUGUGUCUGCAUAUUCUCAUGAUGGCUAGAGGAGGUACUGUGUGUCUGCAUAUUCUCAUGAUGGCUGGAGGAGGUACUGUGUGCCUGCAUAUUCUCAUGAUGGCUAGAGGAGGUACUGUGUGCCUGCAUAUUCUCAUGAUGGCUAGAGGAGGUACUGUGUGCCUGCAUAUUCUCAUGAUGGCUAGAGGAGGUACUGUGUGCCUGCAUAUUCUCAUGAUGGCUAGAGGAGGUACUGUGUGCCUGCAUAUUCUCAUGAUGGCUAGAGGAGGUACUGUGUGCCUGCAUAUUCUCAUGAUGGCUAGAGGAGGUACGGUGUGCCUGCAUAUUCUCAUGAUGG